UACGUAGGGUGCAAGCGUUAAUCGGAAUUACUGGGCGUAAAGCGCGCGUAGGCGGCUUUGCAAGUCGGGUGUGAAAUCCCCAGGCUUAACCUGGGAACUGCAUUCGAGACUGCAUUGCUAGAGUAUGGGAGAGGGAAGUGGAAUUUCUGGUGUAGCGGUGAAAUGCGUAGAUAUCGGAAGGAACAUCAGUGGCGAAAGCGACUUCCUGGACCAAUACUGACGCUCAUGUGCGAAAGCGUGGGGAGCAAACAGG
rnacentral:rRNA from 1 species